GAGAGGAGAGGAGAGGAGAGGAGAGGAGAGGAGAGGAGAAGAACUCGUGAGUCGCAAGAUAAUUAUAAUUUUGUAAAUCCUCCCAGAAUGUGAUCAUCUUAAAUGCUCUAGGUCACAAGAUAAUGUCAAAAUGGAACCAGGCCAGGUAGCACCAGUGAAGCUAAUAAUGUCAAUAAUGUGGAUAGAGAUUACAGUACAGUGUAGACUUUGACAAACUAACUGCAUCUGACAUAGUUCACAACCCACAGCUUCUCUUUGAGACUCAAUCACUAACUCUCCCUCCCUCAGCCUCCCUACUGCUCUCUCUCCUAUCUCCCUCGCUUGCUCCCUCUCUCUCUCUCCACUCCCACCAAUGGCUGGGUCCUGUAGGCCACAGCUGUCCUCUGCCCUCUGUCAGCCUCACAGCUGGCUUUACCCACAAUCCUCAGCUGGACUGUAUCAAAGAGUCUUGUUUCCUCCUGCACUUGCAUCUUGUGUAUUUAAUUUGUCUUAUAGAUCCCCAUUAUCUGCUCAUGCAGCUACUCUUCCUGGGUUCCCGCAAAAUGAAGGGGGCCAGAGAUGUAGAGGGCUACAUCCCAGAAAACCUCUGGUAUGAGUUCCACACAGUGAGCUAAGGCUGUUGUUGUAAGGGGCCAGAUGGUAACCAUGCCAAUACCUCUCCACUACAUCAACUUCCUUUAUGAAGAAUCUUCUAGGGCUGAUCGUUGCCCUGAGCGACAAUGGAACUUCGCGACGUUCCCUGUUCUGGGAUGAUGUGGAAGGGAUCGGCGAGUAGAUACAUCACACGAAUACAUCACACUGACCUGCCAUAUGCUGUUCAAUGGUCUCCUGGUGGAUGAGAGGCUGACCCUGGGUGUGGCGUGAGGAGCUGAUGCCACUGCCUUAUCAGUCUACGUGGACCAGGGCUUCAUGCUCAUGUGGAAGAUCAACAUCUAAUCAGAUUCACAUAAACAGAGCACUGCCAGAGAAUGUGUUAUUUUAAUUACCACAAUUCACAAUUUUCUGUUUGAAUGUCUCAUAUAAUUGUCAGUUAUGUGUAACAUAAAUCAAAU